AGGACGAACGCUGGCGGCGUGCCUAAUACAUGCAAGUCGAACGGUCUUUCUAUGGAAGCUUGCUUCCACUGAGAAGAUAGUGGCGAACGGGUGAGUAACACGUGGGUAACCUGCCCAUAAGAGGGGGAUAACAUCCGGAAACGGGUGCUAAUACCGCAUAGUUUUCUUGAUCGCAUGAUCGGGAAAGGAAAGACGGCCUUUGUGCUGUCGCUUAUGGAUGGACCCGCGGCGUAUUAGUUAGUUGGUGAGGUAGCGGCUCACCAAGACGAUGAUACGUAGCCGACCUGAGAGGGUGAUCGGCCACAUUGGGACUGAGACACGGCCCAAACUCCUACGGGAGGCAGCAGUAGGGAAUCUUCCGCAAUGGACGAAAGUCUGACGGAGCAACGCCGCGUGAGUGAAGAAAGGUUUUCGGAUCGUAAAACUCUGUUGUCAGAGAAGAACAAGUUGGAGAGUAACUGCUCCAGCCUUGACGGUAUCUGACCAGAAAGCCACGGCUAACUACGUGCCAGCAGCCGC
rnacentral:rRNA from 1 species